rnacentral:rRNA from 1 species
AACGAACGCUGGCGGCAUGCCUAACACAUGCAAGUCGAACGAGACCUGCGGGCAUAGUGGCGCACGGCUGCGUAACGCGUGGGAACUUGCCCUUAGGUUCGGAAUAACUUCCCGAAAGGGGUGCUAAUACCGGAUAAUGUCUUCGGACCAAAGAUUUGCGGCCUUUGGAGGGGCCCGCAUUGGGUUAGCUGGUUGGUAGGGUAAACGCGUACCAAGGCGACGCUACAUAGCUGGUCAGAGAGGAUGAUCAGCCACACUGGGACUGAGACACGGCCCAGACUACUGCGGGAGGGAGCAGAGGGGGAUAUAGGAAAGUGGGGGAUAUCAUGAUGCAGCAAUGCCUGGUAAGUGAUUAAGGCGUUAGGGAUGUAAAGCUCUUUUACACGGGAUGUUAAUGACGUUACCGGGAGAAUAAGCUCCGGCUAACUCCGUG